UCCACUGCCAGCCAUAUACUAUGUAAGCCUAAUGGAUGAUCACAUUGAUGCAAACAAAAGCCUCCCUUGGGAGAGUCUACAAUUCUCUGGGACAGUCAACCAGAUGAACCAAUAAAACUUGCCAUAAAGCAGUACACCAUAGUUUUUGACAGGAAUGAGAAACUAGAAUAACACUAUCGACUGAUUUAUUACAUGGUUAAAUCAGAAGGAUUCAUGUAAUAAGGCAAAAUAUUUGUGACUUCAUUUUCAAAAAAGCCCAAAAAAAACAACAUAAAAAGAAAGCAAAGAGCAGGCUAUGUAAAAUGAACCAAAAACAAUAAGAACCCCCACUUCCUAGAUUACCCCCUAGGGCUCAUUGACUGACAUUAGAAAACUUAUAAAUCAAUUUUACCAAGCAAAUACCAAGAAAUGAAAUGCUACCUAACAACACCGCACUAAAUCAAAUAAUGAAUCUGACUACCAGUCAAUAAUCAGACAAAUAUUUAUUGCACAAAUCUGAGGUGUUUCACCUGUGACAGGUACAAUCUAAAAUAAAAACCUUUGCCCCUCAAGGAACAUACAUUCUAGUUCAGAAAGUAAAUAACAGAAAAAAACAAAAAGAAAAAAAAAUUAUUCAUUGAUACCCUUUAUAAACAAAUAAAAUGCUACAAUAAAAAUUAUAAUCAACUGAAAAAAAAAGCAAAAUGAGGAACCCAAAGAGCACACUACUGUAAACACUUCGAAUAGAAAAUAGAAUCUUAGACAAGGGUUAAAUGACAAGUGUUACUAGAAACAUAAAAACAUAAAAAGAACAAAAGGAAAAAAGGCCAAACGAAGGGACCAUCAGCAACAAAAGUAAUCUCAAG
rnacentral:lncRNA from 1 species